UACGUAGGGGGCAAGCGUUGUCCGGAAUCAUUGGGCGUAAAGCGCGCGUAGGCGGCCCGGUAAGUCCGUUGUGAAAGUCAAAGGCUCAACCUUUGAAUGCCGAUGGAUACUGCAGGGCUAGAGUCCGGAAGAGGCGAGUGGAAUUCCUGGUGUAGCGGUGGAAUGCGCAGAUAUCAGGAGGAACACCAAUAGCGAAGGCAGCUCGCUGGGACGGUACUGACGCUAAGGUGCGAAAGCGUGGGGAGCGAACAGG
rnacentral:rRNA from 1 species